rnacentral:rRNA from 1 species
AACAGGAUUAGAUACCCUGGUAGUCCACGCCGUAAACGAUGUCUACUAGCUGUUCGUGGUCUUGUACCGUGAGUAGCGCAGCUAACGCACUAAGUAGACCGCCUGGGGAGUACGGUCGCAAGAUUAAAACUCAAAUGAAUUGACGGGGGCCCGCACAAGCGGUGGAGCAUGUGGUUUAAUUCGACGCAACGCGAAGAACCUUACCUACUCUUGACAUCUACGGAAGAUUGCAGAGAUGCGAUUGUGCCUUCGGGAACCGUAAGACAGGUGCUGCAUGGCUGUCGUCAGCUCGUGUUGUGAAAUGUUGGGUUAAGUCCCGCAACGAGCGCAACCCUUAUCCUUAGUUGCCAGCACGUAAUGGUGGGAACUCUAGGGAGACUGCCGGUGAUAAACCGGAGGAAGGUGGGGACGACGUCAAGUCAUCAUGGCCCUUACGAGUAGGGCUACACACGUGCUACAAUGGUAUGUACAGAGGGAGGCAAGCUGGCGACAGUGAGCGGAUCUCAUAAAGCAUAUCGUAGUCCGGAUUGGAGUCUGCAACUCGACUCCAUGAAGUCGGAAUCGCUAGUAAUCGUGAAUCAGAAUGUCACGGUGAAUACGUUCCCGGGCCUUGUACACACCGCCCGUCACACCAUGGGAGUGGGUUGCAAAAGAAGUAGGUAGCUUAACCUUCUGGAGGGCGCUUACCACUUUGUGAUUCAUGACUGGGGUGAAGUCGUAACAAGGUAACC